rnacentral:snoRNA from 1 species
AAGACUAUACUUUCAGGAAUCAUUUCAUUACUAGAGAAUCCUCUCUGAUCGUGUAGAGUACCAGAAACCAUGAAGAGGAGACAGUGUUCUCUCCUGAGCAUGAAGCCACCUCUUGGUGUUGUUUUAGUGUAACUGUCAAUUGCCAUUGAUUAUUAUUUUUACUCUUCUUCAGGGGAAGAAGAGGGAGAGGAUACAGUCUGGUGGU